rnacentral:tRNA from 1 species
GCCUGGGUGGCUCAGUCGGUUGAGCACCCGACUUUGGCUCAGGUCACAAUCUCACAGUUCGUGGGUUCAAGCCCAGCAUAGGCU